UACGUAGGGUGCGAGCGUUGUCCGGAAUUAUUGGGCGUAAAGGGCUCGUAGGCGGUCUGUCACGUCGGGAGUGAAAACACGGGGCUUAACCCCGUGCCUGCUUCCGAUACGGGCAGACUAGAGGUAUGCAGGGGGAGAACGAAUUCCUGGUGUAGCGGUGAAAUGCGCAGAUAUCAGGAGGAACACCGGUGGCGAAGGCGGUUCUCUGGGCAUUACCUGACGCUGAGGAGCGAAAGUGUGGGGAGCGAACAGG
rnacentral:rRNA from 1 species